AGGGAGAUCAGUUGCACAGUGGCCUCCUAGAUUCACCAACAGCAUUUUACUGAGAAAAGCAGUGAUGUAAACAUGUGCGCAGAAUUCAGAAGAUUAUGUAUUUUGCACUUGGAGACUCACACCUACAUACAAAAUGUGGAGAUGCACACGGAGAGCGAGUAAACAUGGAAGAACUACAGAGAUCUCUCACCUUGAGGUUUCAAGUCUCUGUAAAAAGAAAAGCAAGAAGAGAAGGCAAGCAAGUGAGCGAGCUGUGUAUUAAUACAAGCUGUUGCAAAGAAUUCUCCUUUAGACCUGAGAUGAAAUAAAGUGAACCACAUAUAAAUGCAACUUGCAUAUCUGUCCAUUUCAGAAUUCUUCUCACCACAGUCUGGAAAAACACUAGUUUGAAAUUUGAUUGCCCACUAACACAGGAUUCAAUGAAAACCCUCAUCCAUUUUAUGUCCAAUACUAUGUUGUAUUAAGAAAAACAAAAGCAGACAUCUUUAAUCCAAAUUAUUCAUGGGGAAAAUGUGAGGUUUUUAAUUUUACUGGAAAACAUGAGGCAAUAAAAAGACAAAUUAUUCCCUAC